rnacentral:rRNA from 1 species
GACGUAGGGCGCGAGCGUUGCCCGGAUUUAUUGGGCGUAAAGGGCGCGUAGGCUGUGCUGUAAGUCAGGCGUGAAAUCCCCGGGCUCAACCUGGGAAUUGCGUUUGAUACUGCGGCGCUGGAAUGCAGGAGAGGAUGGCGGAAUUCCCAGUGUAGAGGUGAAAUUCGUAGAUAUUGGGAAGAACACCGGUGGCGAAGGCGGCCAUCUGGCCUGUAAUUGACGCUGAGGCGCGAAAGCGUGGGGAGCAAACAGG